rnacentral:rRNA from 1 species
UACGUAGGGUGCAAGCGUUGUCCGGAAUUAUUGGGCGUAAAGAGCUCGUAGGCGGUCUGUCGCGUCUGCUGUGAAAACCUGGGGCUUAACCCCGGGCCUGCAGUGGGUACGGGCAGACUAGAGUGCGGUAGGGGAGACUGGAAUUCCUGGUGUAGCGGUGAAAUGCGCAGAUAUCAGGAGGAACACCGGUGGCGAAGGCGGCACUCUGGGCCGGAACUGACGCUGAGGAGCGAAAGCGUGGGGAGCGAACAGG